rnacentral:rRNA from 1 species
AAGCACUUCGGUGUGAGUAGAGCGGCGGACGGGUGAGUAACGCGUAGGAAUCUACCUGGUAGUGGGGGACAACUCGGGGAAACUCGAGCUAAUACCGCAUACGCCCUACGGGGGAAAGCGGGGGACCUUCGGGCCUCGCGCUAUCAGAUGAGCCUGCGUUGGAUUAGCUAGUUGGUGGGGUAAUGGCCUACCAAGGCGACGAUCCAUAGCUGGUCUGAGAGGAUGAUCAGCCACACCGGGACUGAGACACGGCCCGGACUCCUACGGGAGGCAGCAGUGGGGAAUAUUGCGCAAUGGGCGAAAGCCUGACGCAGCCAUGCCGCGUGUGUGAAGAAGGCCUUCGGGUUGUAAAGCACUUUCAAUUGGGAGGAAAGGUUCACGGCUAAUACCCGUGAGCCGUGACGUUACCUUUAGAAGAAGCACCGGCUAACUCCGUGCCAGCAGCCGCGGUAAUACGGAGGGUGCAAGCGUUAAUCGGAAUUACUGGGCGUAAAGCGCGCGUAGGUGGUCUGUUAAGUCGGAUGUGAAAGCCCUGGGCUCAACCUGGGAACUGCAUCCGAUACUGGCAGACUAGAGUGCGGGAGAGGGAGGUAGAAUUCCAUGUGUAGCGGUGAAAUGCGUAGAUAUGUGGAGGAAUACCAGUGGCGAAGGCGGCCUCCUGGCUCGACACUGACACUGAGGUGCGAAAGCGUGGGGAGCAAACGGGAUUAGAUACCCGGGUAGUCCACGCCGUUAACGAUGUCUACUUUCUUGUGGGGUACUUGAGACCUUUGUAGCGCAGCUAACGCAAUAAGUAGACCCGCUGG